rnacentral:rRNA from 1 species
GACGAACGCUGGCGGCGUGCUUAACACAUGCAAGUCGAACGGAAAGGCCCUGCUUUUGUGGGGUGCUCGAGUGGCGAACGGGUGAGUAACACGUGAGUAACCUGCCCUUGACUUUGGGAUAACUUCAGGAAACUGGGGCUAAUACCGGAUAGGAGCUCCUGCUGCAUGGUGGGGGUUGGAAAGUUUCGGCGGUUGGGGAUGGACUCGCGGCUUAUCAGCUUGUUGGUGGGGUAGUGGCUUACCAAGGCUUUGACGGGUAGCCGGCCUGAGAGGGUGACCGGCCACAUUGGGACUGAGAUACGGCCCAGACUCCUACGGGAGGCAGCAGUGGGGAAUAUUGCACAAUGGGCGGAAGCCUGAUGCAGCAACGCCGCGUGCGGGAUGACGGCCUUCGGGUUGUAAACCGCUUUCGCCUGUGACGAAGCGUGAGUGACGGUAAUGGGUAAAGAAGCACCGGCUAACUACGUGCCAGCAGCCGCGGUGAUACGUAGGGUGCGAGCGUUGUCCAGAUUUAUUGGGCGUAAAGGGCUCGUAGGUGGUUGAUCGCGUCGGAAGUGUAAUCUCGGGGCUUAACCCUGAGCGUGCUUUCGAUACGGGUUGACUUGAGGAAGGUAGGGGAGAAUGGAAUUCCUGGUGGAGCGGUGGAAUGCGCAGAUAUCAGGAGGAACACCAGUGGCGAAGGCGGUUCUCUGGGCCUUUCCUGACGCUGAGGAGCGAAAGCGUGGGGAGCGAACAGGCUUAGAUACCCUGGUAGUCCACGCUGUAAACGGUGGGUACUAGGUGUGGGGUCCAUUCCACGGGUUCCGUGCCGUAGCUAACGCUUUAAGUACCCCGCCUGGGGAGUACGGCCGCAAGGCUAAAACUCAAAGGAAUUGACGGGGCCCCGCACAAGCGGCGGAGCAUGCGGAUUAAUUCGAUGCAACGCGUAGAACCUUACCUGGGUUUGACAUGGAUCGGGAGUGCUCAGAGAUGGGUGUGCCUCUUUUGGGGUCGGUUCACAGGUGGUGCAUGGCUGUCGUCAGCUCGUGUCGUGAGAUGUUGGGUUAAGUCCCGCAACGAGCGCAACCCUUGUUCACUGUUGCCAGCACGUUAUGGUGGGGACUCAGUGGAGACCGCCGGGGUCAACUCGGAGGAAGGUGGGGAUGACGUCAAGUCAUCAUGCCCCUUAUGUCCAGGGCUUCACGCAUGCUACAAUGGCUGGUACAGAGAGUGGCGAGCCUGUGAGGGUGAGCGAAUCUCGGAAAGCCGGUCUCAGUUCGGAUUGGGGUCUGCAACUCGACCUCAUGAAGUCGGAGUCGCUAGUAAUCGCAGAUCAGCAACGCUGCGGUGAAUACGUUCCCGGG